rnacentral:rRNA from 1 species
GCACAAGCGGUGGAUGAUGUGGUUUAAUUCGAUGCAACGCGAAAACCUUACCCACCUUUGACAUGUACGGAACCCUUUAGAGAUAGAGGGGUGCUCGAAAGAGAGCCGUAACACAGGUGCUGCAUGGCUGUCGUCAGCUCGUGUCGUGAGAUGUUGGGUUAAGUCCCGCAACGAGCGCAACCCUUGUCAUUAGUUGCUACAUUCAGUUGGGCACUCUAAUGAGACUGCCGGUGACAAGCCGGAGGAAGGUGGGGAUGACGUCAAGUCCUCAUGGCCCUUAUAGGUGGGGCUACACACGUCAUACAAUGGCUGGUACAAAGGGUUGCCAACCCGCGAGGGGGAGCCAAUCCCAUAAAGCCAGUCGUAGUCCGGAUCGUAGUCUGCAACUCGACUACGUGAAGUCGGAAUCGCUAGUAAUCGUGGAUCAGAAUGUCACGGUGAAUACGUUCCCGGGUCUU